UAAAAUGAUCUAAUGAUAUCUCCCGAAAAUGUAAGAUCUAAGUAUAAUAUAAGGUUAUAGCCUAAAGUUUAAUUACUGUAGCAUUAGUUUGUAAUAAAUAAUAUCUUAGUGGUGAAAGGCCUACAAUUAUGUUGAUAGCUGGAUAAUUACUAAAUAUAUUUAGUUUAUAAUAAAUUUAUGAAGUGAUAAGAUUUCAUAACUAGAAUUUUUUGUAUAAUUUGAAGCUGCUUUUAAUUAAUACUUAAUAGUAUUUGCUUUUAGAAAAAUUAUUUUACUAAUAAAUAUUCUUUAGUAGUAGUUCACUUAGCUUAAUUAAUUUAAAAGUUGAUAAUGUAUAAAUAAGUAUAUUACUAUAAAUUUAACUAAAUAAACUCGGCAAAUAUUAUGUACGACUGUUUAACAAAAACAUAGCCGGUAGUUAUUAUAUUAUCGGUAUGACCUGCCCGGUGAACUUUUAACGGCCGCAGUACUAUGACUGUGCAAAGGUAGCAUAAUCAUUUGACUUUUAAUUGAAGUCUAGCAUGAAAGGAAAAACGUAUAUAAGCUGUAUCAGGUAUAAAUUUAUAUAAAUUAUUUAUAGGGUGAAAAUACCCUAAAUAAGAAAAAUAGACGAGAAGACCCUUAGAAUUUUAAGAAAAAGCAUCACCUAUUAUGAAACGAUUUUUGUUGGGGCAACAUUUUUUCAUAUAAUAAAAAAAAAAUACUAUAACACAACGAAAAAGUUUAAUAAAGAAAAAAUUACCUUAGGGAUAACAGCAUAAUUUUUAAUAAAGAUUGUGACCUCGAUGUUGGACUAGGAACUAUUAAGGCUAGUCGUUUUAAUAUAAUAUGUUCUGUUCGAACUUUAUUUCCUA
rnacentral:rRNA from 1 species